rnacentral:rRNA from 1 species
ACUCCUACGGGAGGCAGCAGUGGGGAAUAUUGCACAAUGGGGGAAACCCUGAUGCAGCCAUGCCGCGUGUGUGAAGAAGGCCUUCGGGUUGUAAAGCACUUUCAGUAGGGAGGAAGGUAGUGUAGUUAACACCUGCAUUAUUUGACGUUACCUACAGAAGAAGCACCGGCUAACUCCGUGCCAGCAGCCGCGGUAAUACGGAGGGUGCGAGCGUUAAUCGGAAUUACUGGGCGUAAAGCGCAUGCAGGCGGCCUGUUAAGUCAGAUGUGAAAGCCCGGGGCUUAACCUCGGAAUUGCAUUUGAAACUGGCAGGCUAGAGUCUUGUAGAGGGGGGUAGAAUUUCAGGUGUAGCGGUGAAAUGCGUAGAGAUCUGAAGGAAUACCAGUGGCGAAGGCGGCCCCCUGGACAAAGACUGACGCUCAGAUGCGAAAGCGUGGGGAGCAAACAGGAUUAGAUACCCUGGUAGCACAGAG